CUGAGUACGGCGGAACACGUGAAAUUCCGUCGGAAUCCGGGAGGACCAUCUCCCAAGGCUAAAUACUCCCUAGUGACCGAUAGUGAACCAGUACCGUGAGGGAAAGGUGAAAAGCACCCCGGAAGGGGAGUGAAACAGUUCCUGAAACCGUGUGCCUACAAGUAGUUAGAGCCCGUUAAUGGGUGAUAGCGUGCCUUUUGUAGAAUGAACCGGCGAGUUACGAUUUGUUGCAAGGUUAAGCGGAAAAAGCGGAGCCGUAGCGAAAGCGAGUCUGAAUAGGGCGCAUAAGUAACAGGUCGUAGACCCGAAACCAGGUGAUCUACCCAUGUCCAGGAUGAAGGUAAGGUAAUACUUACUGGAGGUCCGAACCCACGCACGUUGAAAAGUGCGGGGAUGAGGUGUGGGUAGCGGAGAAAUUCCAAUCGAACUUGGAGAUAGCUGGUUCUCUCCGAAAUAGCUUUAGGGCUAGCCUCGAGGUAAAGAGUCAUGGAGGUAGAGCACUGUUUGGACUAGGGGCCCUUCUCGGGUUACCGAAUUCAGAUAAACUCCGAAUGCCAUGUACUUAUACUCGGGAGUCAGACUGCGAGUGAUAAGAUCCGUAGUCGAAAGGGAAACAGCCCAGACCACCAGUUAAGGUCCCCAAAUAUAUGUUAAGUGGAAAAGGAUGUGGGGUUGCUUAGACAACCAGGAUGUUGGCUUAGAAGCAGCCACCAUUGAAAGAGUGCGUAAUAGCUCACUGGUCGAGUGACCCCGCGCCGAAAAUGUACCGGGGCUAAACAUAUUACCGAAACUGUGGAUGAACCUCUUUAGAGGUUCGUGGUAGGAGAGCGUUCUAAGGGCGGUGAAGUCAGACCGGAAGGACUGGUGGAGCGCUUAGAAGUGAGAAUGCCGGUAUGAGUAGCGAAAGAAGGGUGAGAAUCCCUUCCACCGAAUAUCUAAGGUUUCCUGAGGAAGGCUCGUCCGCUCAGGGUUAGUCGGGACCUAAGCCGAGGCCGAUAGGCGUAGGCGAUGGACAACAGGUAGAGAUUCCUGUACCAGUGCUAAUUGUUUAACCGAUGGGGUGACACAGAAGGAUAGGGAAUCGCACGAAUGGAAAUGUGCGUCCAAGCAGUGAGUGUGAGAAGUAGGCAAAUCCGCUUCUCGCGAAGCAUGAGCUGUGAUGGGGAAGGAAAUUAAGUACGGAAGUUCCUGAUUUCACGCUGUCAAGAAAAGCCUCUAGGAAGAGUAGUACUGCCCGUACCGCAAACCGACACAGGUAGAUGAGGAGAGAAUCCUAAGGUGAGCGAGAGAACUCUCGUUAAGGAACUCGGCAAAAUGACCCCGUAACUUCGGGAGAAGGGGUGCUCUAUUAGGGUGCAAGCCCGAGAGAGCCGCAGUGAAUAGGCCCAGGCGACUGUUUAGCAAAAACACAGGUCUCUGCAAAACCGUAAGGUGACGUAUAGGGGCUGACGCCUGCCCGGUGCUGGAAGGUUAAGAGGAGUGCUUAGCUUCGGCGAAGGUACGAAUUGAAGCCCCAGUAAACGGCGGCCGUAACUAUAACGGUCCUAAGGUAGCGAAAUUCCUUGUCGGGUAAGUUCCGACCCGCACGAAAGGCGCAACGAUCUGGGCACUGUCUCAACGAGAGACUCGGUGAAAUUAUAGUACCUGUGAAGAUGCAGGUUACCCGCGACAGGACGGAAAGACCCCGUGGAGCUUUACUGCAACCUGAUAUGGAAUGUUUGUACCGCUUGUACAGGAUAGGUAGGAGCCGAAGAGACGUGUGCGCUAGCAUACGAGGAGGCAAUGGUGGGAUACUACCC
rnacentral:rRNA from 1 species